AGAGAUACCACCAGCUUCUGAUGGUGUUACACCCUGGAAAUGGCAGUCCAGCUCUAGCUUCUGGAAGGCAACUGGCAAGAGCAUAAGAAAACAGCCGAAGAUUAGAUUUUGAUAAUGAGAGAGCCCAACGAUCCUGGACCCCUGGCCGGGAGGACAAUAGGGGAAACAGGUGAAACACUGUGUGAGCUGGACCACCCAGGCUCUCCAACACCAGGACACCAGAGCAUCCUUCCUCCUUCUUCUCUUCUGCUGCGACUUCCUGGAGGCAUAGCAGAGUUACAACUGCUGGCCAUGUGGAACUUCUCUUCUCCUAUAAGUUUGCUCUGAGAUGGAGAGAUUGUGCCUGUGGUUCAUUAGGAAGAGCUCUUGGGAUCAAUGCCUGUAAUAAGGAAGGGAAGGAAUCAGGAUUGGCCAGAAGGAGAAGUUGAGCUGUGUUGAAGCCUCAAUGGAGACCUCAGCCAAUUCUGAGUCAUGUCCUGAAGCUAGAAUAUGUCCUCUAAAUUAUCCCAAGCUGAGAUGAGGGAGCUGGGCAUUUAGCCCUGUAUUAGGCCAUUCUUGCACUGCUAUAAAGAAAUAACUAUGGCCUGGCGCCGUGGCUCACGUCCUUAAUCCUAGCACUUUGGGAGGCCGAGGCGAGCAGAUCACGAGGUCAGAGUUUGACACCAGCCUGGCCAAUAUGGUGAAACCCCAAUUCUACUAAAAAUACGAAAAUUAGCCAGGCGUGGUGGCACAUGUCUGUAAUCUCAGCUACUCGGGAGGCUGAGGCAGGAGAAUUGCUUGAACCCAGGAAGUGGAGGUUGCAGUGAGCUGAGAUUGUGCCUCUGCACUCCAGCCUAGGGAAUAAAGCGAAAGUCUGUCAAAAAAAAAAAAAAAAAGGAAAGAAGGAAAUAACUGAGACUGGUAAUUUAUAAAGAAGAGGUUUAAUUGGCUCACAGUUCCUCAUGCUAUACAAAAAGCAUGAUGCUGGCAUCUGCUCAGCUUCUUGGGAGGCCUCAGGAAAUGUACAAUCAUGGCAGAAGGUGACGCGGGAGCAGGCAGUUCACAGGGCCGGUGCAGGAGGAGAGAGAGAGGCAGGAGAUGCUACACGCCUUUAAACAACCAGAUCUCCUGAUAACUCACUCUCGUCACAACACCACCAAGGGAGAUGGUGUUAAACCAUGAGAAACCACCUCCACGAUCCAAUCACCUCCCACCAGGCCUCACCUCCAACACUGGGGAUUUAUAAUUCCACGUGAGAUUUGGGUAGAGGACACAGAUCCAAAAUAUAUCAUACCCCCACGUUGAUCAGUCAUUAGAUGUGGGCCACCCUAGUUGAGGCAGCUCCCCUCGCUCAGGUGGUUCCUGAAGCGAGCUGACAGCUGACGGCUGCAUGCCAGAGGUACUGUCAGCAGCUGAAGGAGAGUCUUUUGUGCUAAAAGCCAUCUUAAGCAGCACAGCACAGCGUCCACCACAUAUUGUGGACAGGUGAUAUGGUUUAGAUCUGUAUCCCCACCACAAUUUCAUGCUGAAUUGUAGUCCCCAAUGUUGGAGGUAAGCCCUGGUGGGAGGUGUUCGGGUCGUGGGAGCAGAUCCCUCAUGAAUGGCUUGGGCCAUCCUCUUGGUGAUGAGGGAACACUCACUCUGAGUGUUCACAAGAUCUGGUGGUUUAAACGUGUAUGGCACCUCUCCCCACCCCCACUCUUUCUUGUUCCUGCUUUUGCCAUGGGACUCGCAUGAUCCCUUUGCCUUCUGCCAGGACUAAAAGCUCCCUGGAGCCUCCUCAGAAGCUGAGCGAUGUUGGCGCCAUGCUUCUGGUACAGCCUGCAGAACCAUGAGCCAAUUCAACCUCCUUUCUUUAUAAAUUACCCAGUCUCAGGUAUUUCUUUAUGGCAAUACAAGAACACCAGGGGUUUGCAGGUAACCCGGGCCCCUGUCCUUGAGGACACAGCAGCAAGCCAUUGGUAAAGCAAAACUGUCCAUAAGGAAGGCUGCUCCCAUGCAGUGUUCAUUUGGGCAGCCCAGAAAUCGAGAAAUCCUCGGUCCAUUUCAAGUUUGGGGGAAAACUUAUUUUUAUCAUAUUUGAGAUGAAUAAUAAAAGCAAAUCCAGAAGUCGGAUGGCAUCUUUUAUUGGACUUAGACCUGGUGUUGUUGAAUGGGAUUAGAUCUGUGGGAUGAAGAAUGAAUCCUGAUUCACAGCCACUGCCCUAUACUGGACUUAUGGAGUCCACCCCUGACACACUGUGGCCUCGGGUGCUGAGACUUCCACAGGGUUUUGGAACUGCCCAGAUACAUGUGUGCCAAUUGGAGCCUGGGGUCUGUAUGUCUGUCUUCCAGAACUAAAGAUCUCUCAGAUCCAAAACUGGCUACAUAUUCUGGAGCAUGGAACUUUAAUUUCCUCUUUUAUUUGUUCAUUUGUUCAUCUAUGCAUUUGACAGGUAUUUACUGAAACUAGAUUGCAACUCAACCAGAUGUAGUGGGAGAGGCAGAUAAUUGAAAAAGGAAGUACAAUGGUGUGGGAAAAGUAUUAGGAAAGAGGAAGUGCAGGGUUGUAUGGGAGCUCGAGGAGGAACGGAGAAAGUCUCCCAGGAAAUAAGGGC
rnacentral:lncRNA from 1 species